rnacentral:rRNA from 1 species
GCAGUAGCCACGGUAAUACGGAGGGUGCGAGCGUUAACCGGAAUUACUGGGCGUAAAGCGCACGUAGGCGGAUAUUUAAGUCAGGGGUGAAAUCCCAGAGCUCAACUCUGGAACUGCCUUUGAUACUGGGUAUCUUGAGUAUGGAAGAGGUGAGUGGAAUUCCGAGUGUAGAGGUGAAAUUCGUAGAUAUUCGGAGGAACACCAGUGGCGAAGGCGGCUCACUGGUCCAUUACUGACGCUGAGGUGCGAAAGCGUGGGGAGCAAACAGGAUUAGAUACCCCUGUAGUCCCUGUCUCUUAUAC